GAAAUGCGAUAAGUAAUGUGAAUUGCAGAAUUCAGUGAAUCAUCGAAUCUUUGAACGCACCUUGCGCUCCUUGGUAUUCCUUGGAGCAUGCCUGUUUGAGUAUCAUGAAAUCUUCAAAGUAAAUCUUUUGUUAACUCAUUUGGUUUCUACUUUGGUAUUGGAGGUCUUUGCAGCUUCACACCUGCUCCUCUUUGUUCAUUAGCUGGAUCUCAGUGUUAUGCUUGGUUCCACUCGGCGUGAUAAGUUAUCUAUCGCUGAGGACACUGUAAAAGGUGGCCAAGGUAAAUGCAGAUGAACCGCUUCCAAUAGUCCAUUGACUUGGACAAUACUUUUAUGAUCUGAUCUCAAAUCAGGUAGGACUACCCGCUGAACUUAAGC
rnacentral:misc_RNA from 1 species